AUGGAGAAAGGGGACAAAGAUAGUGAUUCCGUCAACAAAGCCAUCGAAGACCUGUACAACGCCGUAUGCAAGCCAUGGACACAGAGAGAAAUGGAUGAGCUUUUCAUUACAACGAACAAGUUUGAUGUCAAUCUAGGCCAUGUCGCCGAAAGCUUCAAGGUCGGUAAAUCAGUACACACCGAAGCAAUCGAGCCCAUGCUAACAAUCUUGAGAAAACAACUAAAUGGCACAAAGAGAAAGAUUAUGUCGUUAAGCAACACUUUCCUUCUACCAUGUUCGUUGCGCGGGUUUGAGCAAGACGAAAAUACAAGUCAUUACUUCACCAUUACAGUUAACAUGCAAAAACAGCGCUUUGAACUCCUUGACUCUUCAACUGCAUAUCCAGGCACAAUAGAAUUCUUUAACAAUGUAACCAGCAAAUUAAUGAAAAUAUGGAAGCACGUAAGCAUAGAGCUACAGCUUUCACAAAAAAGUAUCGACCAUUUCAAAAGGGUCAAACUGCAGGUGCCACUUCAAGGAGAAGACACAAUGGACUGUGCAUUCUAUAUGUACAUGAACCUGAAGCACUACUCCAAUGAUGGAACAGCAGCAACCUUAGAGCCAGAACAAGUACCAGAGUUGAGGAAAAAAAUUCUAAAUCAACUAAUCAGUCAACACAGAGGGAAUACCAAACUGUCAUUAAUCAAGUGUACAACAGAUAUGCUGAAGUAUGAAGUCGAUAUGGGAGACAAAGAAAUGCAACAGACAGAAUGUUGCGUACUAGAAGAGUUUCCGCCAAAUCCCGAGCCAAAAGAACAUAUUAUGCAUGCGACAACCACAAAAGAGCAUGAAGUUAUUGAUAUAUCCAGUAAACACAAAGAGGUUAUGGAUGUCAGCAGACACGCCAUCGCCCAAGAAUCUUGCACAGACCACGAAGAAAAGGAUCCACCAGUAGAACCAGAUCAACCACCACCAGACGACAAGAUACCACACCAUGCUGAAGAGCAAACGGACGAGCAAAAUAUCAACAGCAAUACCCCGAGCACAGAGCAACUUGAACAAACAUGCACUAAUUUAAAAGAGGAUGGCACAAGCAACGACGUACCAAAUACACAAGAACAGGACGAAGUUGAUGAAUUUCUUUCAAGCCUUAACCCGCUCCAACUAGAGGAAUACAACAAGCAUGUAAAGAUGGGCGUUGGAUUCGAUGUAAUCAAAACAUGGCUGAAUGACCAUGAAAGCUAUGAAUUUAACAAAGAUCCCACGCCGUAUCUGACAAUCUUGCAGCAAGAAUCAGGAGAACAUUCAAUGCCUCAAUCAUCUGAGAACAGCUCAGACAAGAAAAUCUCGGUCAAGAAGAGACCGGUAAAGCCUUCAAGAAAGCUGCAUGAAAAAAUUCCUACUUUUGUCCCAGGAGAUUUCAAAUUUAUGAACAAAGCCAGAGCACUUCAUGAAUACCUAUUCAGCAAAGAAGGACAGGACGAAUGCGGAGAUCUAAACGUACAUAUUAGCUCGAAGCGACCCGAUUGGAUUACAGGAGAACAAAUGGUGGAACAGCUACGGAAAGGAGAUCAUGGACAGAUGGAGGGAUCCAUCGCAAACGCAUUGUUCGAAGAAUGGACAGUGCAGCAACAAUACAACACAACCGAUAAAGCCAUACUUCCCGCAGAAUUUGCAAACAUCGUGCUCGGUGUUAAAAUUGGAGAAAAAGGAGGACUAGCAGAAUUCAAUGAGGACGAAGCAUUGAAACAGUUUGCACCCCUUGUAACAGGGAAGGAACUUUUAAAGAAAAAGCUGAUUAUGAUACCUCAGAACACAGCUAAACACUACACACUGUACGUGCUCAACAAGUACACGAGCUCCAUCGACAUACUUGACUCACUAAAUUACAGAGACGGAGACGAUUAA
rnacentral:rRNA from 1 species